rnacentral:rRNA from 1 species
AGAGUUUGAUCCUGGCUCAGGACGAACGCUGGCGGCGUGCUUAACACAUGCAAGUCACGGGGGCCCGCAAGGGUAACCGGCGAACGGGUGCGUAACACGUGAGCAAUCUGCCGAUGUCUGGGGGAUAGCCGGGCCAACGCCCGGGUAAUACCGCAUACGCUUGUUGGGGGACAUCCCCUGGCAAGGAAACCUCCGGGGGACAUCGAGGAGCUCGCGGCCUAUCAGCUAGUUGGUGAGGUAACGGCUCACCAAGGCGACGACGGGUAGCUGGUCUGAGAGGAUGGCCAGCCACAUUGGGACUGCGACACGGCCCAGACUCCUACGGGAGGCAGCAGUGGGGAAUAUUGCGCAAUGGACGAAAGUCUGACGCAGCGACGCCGCGUGUGGGAUGACGCCUUUCGGGGUGUAAACCACUGUUGCCCGGGACGAACAUCCUCUUUCGAGAGGACUGACGGUACCGGGUGAGGAAGCACCGGCUAACUNUGNGCCAGCCGCCGCGGUAAUAC